rnacentral:lncRNA from 1 species
CGUUUGUUUUCUCUUAUUUUUUUAGUGUAAAUUGACAUUGCGAUAAGACGUGUCACGGUACUUGUCUAUCCCAAAUUCAUGUAUUUGGUUUUGAUGUUAUAUUUGUUAUUCUCGUGGGAUUUUGUCUGAUGCUUGGUCCGUUUCUGUGUGUGUUAGUUACAUUGUAGUGUUGUGUCGUUGUUCUCCUCUUAUAUUUAUGCGUUUCCGUCAGUUUUAGUUUGUUACCCCGAUUUUGUUUUUUGUCCAUG